CUCCAAUCUCUGCCUGGCUUGUGCCAUCUCUUCUUCCUGUUACAUCUGUCUUCAUGUCACCACCUGUCAUAUGUGGAAAGGAAUUACUCCACUCCGAUUCUUGAAAUUUAUACCUUUGGUAUUAGAGAACCUGAGACUAAUUCAGAAGUGAAUAAUAUAUCGCAAAGUGCUUCACAAAGUUGUAUAUCUUAGAAGAUUCCUAAACAAGUUCAAAAGAAUAAAUCUAAUAAUAAAU
rnacentral:lncRNA from 1 species